GUUGUCCGACUCUGUUGCCUCCGGGGCGACCCUGCCUUCGGGCGGGGGCUCCGGGUGGACACUUCAAACUCUUGCGUAACUUUGCAGUCUGAGUAAACUUAAUUAAUAAAUUAAAACUUUUAACAACGGAUCUCUUGGUUCUGGCAUCGAUGAAGAACGCAGCGAAAUGCGAUAAGUAAUGUGAAUUGCAGAAUUCAGUGAAUCAUCGAAUCUUUGAACGCACAUUGCGCCCCCUGGUAUUCCGGGGGGCAUGCCUGUUCGAGCGUCAUUUCACCACUCAAGCCUCGCUUGGUAUUGGGCAACGCGGUCCGCCGCGUGCCUCAAAUCGACCGGCUGGGUCUUCUGUCCCCUAAGCGUUGUGGAAACUAUUCGCUAAAGGGUGUUCGGGAGGCUACGCCGUAAAACAACCCCAUUUCUAAGGUUGACCUCGGAUCAGGUAGGGAUACCCGCUGAACUUAAGC
rnacentral:rRNA from 1 species